ACUUGGAGGGACCUUAAAGCCAGUCUCUGAUGUUAACACAAUUUCCAACUCAAGAUAACUUCAAAGAUGUUACUACUUCCUUCUUAGUAGUAGAUGGACUGCUACUACCAAGACUGGACAGACUCCCUAGCUGCUGCUGUGCCCAAGAACCACUGCUGAUUCAUCUCCUGGUGACUGCACAUAGACCAGAAUGAAUGUUUGUCUCGGUGCUGGCACCAGGGGGGCUUUUGCAGAGACUAUUUCACGGUCCAUUGAACCCUAAAGGACAUUGUUUUUAAAGGCAUAUUAUCAGAAUGGAAGAAGCGAGUCAUCAGACAGGCUAUUACAGGAAUUGCAUUUGUUUGUAUGUGAACUAACUACAAGAGAGAAUUCCUUGAGCACAUAAGCCAGAUGAAAGACCCACAAAGUGAGGACUACCUCACGUUCUGACUCAAAAGAGGCGACACCCCAAAUCACUCACAAGAAAUGGCCUUGAUGCAAAUCGCAAGAGGACCUUUUUAUUCCAGGCAUCACUGAAAUUCUCGGGAGUUCCUAUAGCCAACAGUGCUUCCUACAGCUGAACUUCAGGAGACUGAGGACCCUGCCAUACCCUGCCAGCUGACGCCAAGCUGUGUUCCUACCAUGGAGGGCCUGGAGACACACUGAGAGGGUGACAAUUGAUCACCAAGCUAUGCUCAUGAUAGCCAACAAGGUUACCAAGGAAAAUCUACAACAGCCUGUCUGAAAAAAAAAAUAAGUAUAAAGAAAUCAAAUGCAGAAAGUAUUCUCCACCACUUAUAAAAAGCAACUUCCUAACAUCCUAAGAUAACUUAAUAAAAUCCCAGUGUCAGGUCUGGGC
rnacentral:lncRNA from 1 species